rnacentral:rRNA from 1 species
CCUACGGGAGGCAGCAGUGAGGAAUAUUGGUCAAUGGACGAGAGUCUGAACCAGCCAAGUAGCGUGAAGGAUGACUGCCCUAUGGGUUGUAAACUUCUUUUAUAUGGGAAUAAAACGUUCCACGUGUGUGAUUUUGUAUGUACCAUAUGAAUAAGGAUCGGCUAACUCCGUGCCAGCAGCCGCGGUAAUACGGAGGAUCCGAGCGUUAUCCGGAUUUAUUGGGUUUAAAGGGAGCGUAGGUGGAUUGUUAAGUCAGUUGUGAAAGUUUGCGGCUCAACCGUAAAAUUGCAGUUGAAACUGGCAGUCUUGAGUACAGUAGAGGUGGGCGGAAUUCGUGGUGGAGCGGUGAAAUGCUUAGAUAUCACGAAGAACUCCGAUUGCGAAGGCAGUUCACUGGACUGCAACUGACACUGAGGCUCGAAAGUGUGGGUAUCAAACAGGAUUAGAUACCCCUGUAGUC